GUUAAAAUAGAAUCUACUUUGAAAUGCAAUCACAUUUUAAAGGUGAACGAAAUUAGAUUAAAAAAAAAAGCCUACCUUUUGAGUUACUUUCAGAAGAUAACACAGGAUGGAGCUCACAUCACGGAGCUCAUGAGAAGCUGAGUGCCAGCUACCACACACACAUUCAGACAUUUGCUGUCGGGCCACGGGCCAUGCUGAUGGAGAAAAGGAAACCACCCCAGGAGGUCUGAGAGAAAUGAGGAAAGGAGGCGUCCAUCUCCAGCCCCAUUCAGACACGCUCCUGGGAGAGAACAGCUCACAUUUGGCUCACGCUUCUCAUAUGCCGAGCGCUCUGCUGUGUUACCUCAGUGACUUUCACUGACUCCCAAGGAAGUGAUGGGGAUGGGGAAACUGGAAUUCAAACCCAUUUCCAACUCCCUCCGGAUCUCGAGAGAUUAACCACAGACACAACUUUUCCUGAACACAGAACAAGAAGGCAAAAGGAAGCAGAGGUCCCUGUUUUCAGGAGAGGACAGGAGAAAGGUGCCAGUACCCUGGCCUUUGGUUAUAUUUCCCUUUCCCUCUUCAGUAACACAUUUCUUGGCAGGACAUCUUUUCUGGAAAACCAGACUUGAGCUUGGAGUGGCUCAACAGCCCUUGCUGUAGCUAGGUUUGAUGGAGAAGCUGAGAGAGCUGCCUGCACCCGGGUAGGAGGCUCUGUCAUGGAGGGGCUCAGGCCAUUGCAGGUUUAGGGCCUAAAUGUUGUGCAAAUAUUUGCCCAACAACUCCCAGUGUGCCUUGGAACAAGCAGCAGGAGCGGCCCUGGCUGAGUCCCUGAAGAGAAACGUGGAUGUGAUGACUUUGAAUGGCUCCCAGCUUCUACUUCCUCAUAA
rnacentral:lncRNA from 1 species